CAAUUCAUUCAUCUCAUCUAACACGAAUUAUCCACUUUCGAUUUCACAAAUUUCUAACGUUUCUACCUCUAAUUCCUACGAAUUUCUUCAAUUUUAAUCCCAAUUUCGUUCCUCCCCAAAAGUUCACAAAUUCAUCAUACAUCAUUCAAUCAGAGGCAAAUCAAUGGUUUCUCACUACCCAUCACAUAUUAUCCCAUAAUACCCAUUAAUCGAUGAUAAACCCCCCUUACCUGAGUUAAUCCGGCAGCUUUGAGCUUCAAGCUUUUCCUUCCUUCAACCUUCGUUUUCUGGCUCUUU
rnacentral:lncRNA from 1 species